rnacentral:rRNA from 1 species
AGUGAACGCUGGCGGUAGGCCUAACACAUGCAAGUCGAACGGCAGCACAGUAAGAGCUUGCUCUUACGGGUGGCGAGUGGCGGACGGGUGAGGAAUACAUCGGAAUCUACUUUUUCGUGGGGGAUAACGUAGGGAAACUUACGCUAAUACCGCAUACGAUCUACGGGUGAAAGCAGGGGAUCUUCGGACCUUGCGCGAUUGAAUGAGCCGAUGUCGGAUUAGCUAGUUGGCGGGGUAAAGGCCCACCAAGGCGACGAUCCGUAGCUGGUCUGAGAGGAUGAUCAGCCACACGGGAACUGAGACACGGUCCAGACUCCUACGGGAGGCAGCAGUGGGGAAUAUUGGACAAUGGGCGCAAGCCUGAUCCAGCCAUACCGCGUGGGUGAAGAAGGCCUUCGGGUUGUAAAGCCCUUUUGUUGGGAAAGAAGAGCAGCAGGUUAAUACCCCGCUGUUCUGACGGUACCCAAAGAAUAAGCACCGGCUAACUUCGUG